AGUCUGACUUAGACGAGUUGAUGUUUGUCACUCAAUAUACAGCCGGGCUAGAAGACCAAAACUACCUAAACGUGGAAUCCUUGCGCCACGAGCAGCCAGACUCCUAGAAAAUGGACCUUGAGCUCGUUUCUAUGGAGUCAGGCUGAGAGGCUAAAUUUGCACGCGUAUAGUCUGGCUUCCGAACAAGCCAGACGACGCAAACACAGGAGCUGCUGAGCCAUGGCGGCAAACACGCCCUUAGUAGCUGAUGGCCGCAGCUCAUGGGGUGUGGUGUGCGUGCUCGAGACCGGUGGCGCGAAGGGCGGACGGCAUCCGCAUCGCUUUCGCUUUUCCCGGCCGGCUUUUGCUGCGAGGAGGAAGGAACAAACAACACAUGCGUUACUGCUCCUCCUACUACACGCAGCGGUCGAUGAGGAAUCUGAUGCAAACAUACUAGAGGUACUGGAGGCCAGGGUUUGGACUAUGGAGCACGGAUCUGACUGACUGAUCCGAUGCAAAGGGAACGGAUGCAUGCAGCGCUUUGGCGACAACAAUGAUCACCACCACCACUCCACCAGCAGCAGGAGGCAGGCACUCGAGAUGGGAUGAGAAUCUCUCUACUUGUUGCUUUUGCCAUGCCCGGGACGUUGCCUGUUGACGUCGGGAGAGGUAAAAAAAAGAAGAGAGAAGCGGCGCCGUCAGAUCAGACCGUGACCAUGGGAAUGGGAUGGGAGGAAGAGGGUCUUUGGCCGAUCGAGGCGCUUGUGAUCCAGGCAGAGACGAGACAACAGACGAGGUCAGCUCAGGCGGUCAUUCGUUCGGGUUCAUCAGAUGCCUGCGUGCCGGAGCCCGGAGGGAGGCUCUUUUGGCAAAUCAAAUCCGAUUGGAUGGAUGUUUCGUCUGCUUUUUUUUUUCUCGACGAACUUUUCCGGUUUGGUUGUAGAAAUAAUCUGAGUAUCAACAGAGAGGAAGAUGAAUGG
rnacentral:misc_RNA from 1 species